GAAUACUCUAAAAUUUCUUCAAAUUCAAGCUAAGAUACAAAUUUGUAUUUUGUUAUUGUCUUAUUCAAUCGUAAAAUAAAAUUGUUAGAGGAUAAGAGUUAUCCGAUUAAUUUCAUCUUUGGAUAUGUAUACGUUCGAUUAAUUUUUCAAAUAACAAAUUUCUUAUUUAAAAAUAUUCUAUUAAAAUAGAAGUCUUUUGUGAAAAUGAAUAAACUAUUAAAUUUUUAAAAAUGCAAGAGAAAAUUCUAUGGAUUUGUAAGACUACCGGACAUUCUAAUCGAUAAACGCAUAUUGCGCGUUAUGAAUCUAACAACUUCUAACAUUUCUUGCGAAAAUAAUCAUUAACUUUUCGAUGGGUUUAUGUAAAAAAAAAAGAAAAAAAAAGGGAACAACCCUCCGUUUUAUGGUAAGAGAUUAUUCUCAAAGAUACUGGCUGAAAAUACAUUAAAAGGCGCGCACGUCGGUGACGAGAUUAAAGGUAACCUUCCCAUCGAUUUUCAGUCUUCAAGGGUCAACGACGUAUUACGUGCAUAGAACUAAUACAAGUGAAUUUCGCAAAAUAUUUCUCCAAAAAGAUUAUACCAAGAAGUAAAAGAACGACUUGAAAAUUGAAAAAAACAAGGACGAUAAAUCUUUAUUAUAAUGAAGGACAUAGAAACGCCCACGCGAUGUGCUAGUAAGUAGAGCCAGUCGAUAUCAGAGAAGGUAAAACAGGAGAGAAAGAGAGAAAGAGAGAGAGAGAGAGAGAGAGAGAGAGAGAGAGAGAGAGAGAGAGAGAGAGAGAGAGAGAGAGAGAGAGAGAGA